rnacentral:rRNA from 1 species
AUUGAACGCUGGCGGCAGGCCUAACACAUGCAAGUCGAACGGUAACAGGAAGAAGCUUGCUUCUUUGCUGACGAGUGGCGUACGGGUGAGUAAUGUCUGGGAAACUGCCUGAUGGAGGGGGUUAACUACUGGAAACGGUAGCUAAUACCGCAUAACGUCGCAAGACCAAAGAGGGGGACCUUCUGGCCUCUUUCCUUCUUCUGUGCCCAGAUGGGAUUAGCUAGUCGGUGGGGUAACGGCUCACCUAGGCGACGAUCCCUACCUGGUCUGAGAGGAUGACAAGCGAAACGGGAAAGGAGAAAAGGUCCAGAGGCCGACGGGAGGCAGCAGAGGGGAAUAUGGCACAAUGGGCGCAAGCAUGAUGCAGCAAAGCCGAGUGUAUGAAGAAGGACUUCGGGUUGUAAAGUACUUUCAGCGGGGAGGAAGGGAGUAAAGUUAAUACCUUUGCUCAUUGACGUUACACGCAGAAGAAGCACCGGCUAACUCCGUG